CGUCCAAAUUUUACUAAGAAACUUUUAGCCCUAAAAUUCUAAACCAUCUGUAAUUCUGUAUACAUAGACAGACAGAGAGCUCAAUUUCUUUUUUGCUGAAUCAAAAUGUUGUUGUACAUAAUCUCUUCAUUUACAUUAUCUUUCUCAUUUCCAUCAUUUUCUUCUCAAAGUUCCCCUAACCCUAACAUUUUCAUCUUCGUUUUUCAAAUUCGCCAAAAAAACUCAAGUAAAUUAGGCUUUAAACGAUACACGUGCUAUGAGAUCUGGAUGAUCCGACGCAUAUUGAUGUGGUUCAAGCGCAUUUUGAAUUUCAGGCCAACGCGGAUUGGCGGUCAUUGUUAAGAAGAUAUCUGGAUGAUGAUUAAACCGGGUAAUGGCCAUUGAAUCUUGAUAAAUCUCAUACAUAUGCCUAGGACCACCGAUAAAAGUCGAUGGUAAUACAUAUGGCUUACCCAAGUCUUCGGGAGUUAGCCCGGAUUCCGCCGAGGGCUUUAUAUGUUCAUACGAAUCUGCUCGCAGCUUAUCCUGGUUUAUCUUAAGAUAAUACAGACGGUUCUGUUCUGUUGAUGCCCAAGCGUCCACCAGGAUCCAGAUGUUUCAUAUCAGGAUGCCAACCCAUCUCGCCGUAUGGAAACAGUAAAACAUAAUGCAGGGGCAAGUAUGCAGGGUGACACUCUGAAAUACGUUUGAAUCCAUUUCUCCCCUUGCGGUGAAGUAUUAUAUCUCUGAAGUCAGGCUUCUGAGAACCAUCUCCGGGUAAUAUUACAGAGAUUUCAUCGGCCGUUGGUAGGUUAUAACGCCUUUCAUCUGUAGAUUCCUCAUAGUGCAUGAUGACUUUGAAACUAUUGUCUGUGGAGUCAGCAUUGCUCAGAAGUUCUCGUGCCUGGUAAUAUUUAUCGCAAAAAACAUUAUGUUCUGAGAUAAUUUUCUGGACCUUUUUAAGAACUUCUUUAUCCAGCUUGGGAUUCCGUGUUGCAAGAACAACCAAUGCCUGAUCUGGGUCAUAGAAAUACAACUGAUGAUAGAUUGGGUCUUUACCCUCGUCUGGUAGUAAAGUUCCGGAAUUAUGUCGAAGUUCACCAUGAAUUGCAAAGCCUUUUGGGCCCUUCCCCUUCAGGACCCUCCUAUCCAGUUUACAACCGAGACUGGUAUAGGCGUUUGAAGCGUUGUACUCCCGCAUGUGAUCUCUGUAAAACCUCGAUUCGGCAUCGUCUCCUUCAAGUAAAUCCAUUAGUUCUUUUGGAGGCUCCAGCAGCGCAGGGAGUAUUACUUUUCCUUUGCGACAACAUCUUGAAAAUUUUGGAUUCUUCUUGGAUGAGUCGGUUGUCCACUCAUCAAUCCAAUGCAGUGCUCCACAUGAAGAACAUUCUAUAUCCAUUUCACCAAGGUGAUCUAUUAGCUGCUGAGAAAACCGAAUAACAUUCAACUCUUUAAGGUAGAGUUGCUUGAUUACAACAUCCUAUGUGCUGCCAUUGUAGAAUGCAGUGGAGUUUUCCACGUUGCCAGUCCAGUUCCUGCCUAUCGCAUAGCCAAUCAUGAGGUUAAGAUCGUCGUGCUCUUGGGAACCUACUUACUGGGCAACGCUUUGAUUCUGAAUAAAAGACCAUCAAACAAAUUGGCUUGUGAGAAGAAAAUUCUGAUGCUGAUGUAAAUUUAAGUUAGGGUUUAUAAAUUAAAGUUAGGGGGUUUACCGAGUAUGCGUCUCUCUGUUGUUCCUGCCUUUUUUUCUCCCAUCGUUUCAGCUGGCCCAAGGACCUUUUAUUACAAAGGUCAACAUCAACGGCAUUUAUAUGUUGUUCUGCAUCUGUAUGUUGUUCUGGAUUCUGGCUACUCUGAAUAAGUUGUUCCUGUUUUUUUUUCCC